rnacentral:rRNA from 1 species
UACGUAGGGUGCGAGCGUUGUCCGGAAUUACUGGGCGUAAAGAGUUCGUAGGCGGUUUGUCGCGUCGUUCGUGAAAACUUGGGGCUUAACUCCAAGCGUGCGGGCGAUACGGGCAGACUUGAGUACUACAGGGGAGACUGGAAUUCCUGGUGUAGCGGUGAAAUGCGCAGAUAUCAGGAGGAACACCGGUGGCGAAGGCGGCACCCUGGACCGGCAUUGACGCUGAGGCGCGAAAGCCAGGGGAGCAAACGGG